rnacentral:lncRNA from 1 species
AUCAAAUCCGCAAUUGUGUAAAAUGAAUAGGCAUCAAGAAAAACUAACUCUUAAACCACAGGAAUCCGAGGGAUGGAGGUCAAAGCCACAGGAAAGGAAGUUUCCCCGAAGAGGCCACUCCCACCCAGUGACUUUCCAGUUCAAGGUGGAGUAGGCGCCAGUUCAUCUCUGCCUUAACCCCGGGACAAGUUUGGGGGCCUCUCUUAGAGCUGGAAAGCAGCGGGGCAGCCGUUCCGCUGGCUUCAGGCAGCGGCUCCGCCUCCAGCUUGGCCGACUCCGGACCGCGCUGGGGGGACCCGGCGCAUCUGCGCAGGGCAAGGGAGGAAAAUUCUUGAAUACGCAGGAUCCAGGAAACGAAACCCAGAGCCCCUGGUGUCCGCGCCAAAGUUUCCUCGCUAGCUUUCACUCAAAGGCGUUUCCUCGCUAGCUUCAGGGGAGGUUGUGUAACACCUGUGCCAUCAGCAAAAGAGUCGAGAGGAACGCAGCCUCCACCUGGCGCCCGGAUUCCCAACAGCCUGAGCCACAGGUGAGAGAGGGCUUUCUCCGCCGCCUCUCCGCCGCGGGGGCGCGGGACCUGCGCACGUUUCUGGGAGCGACCUAGGUGAAGCGAGCUGCCCGUGCGGAGAGGCACAAGGGUCCUUGUGUCCUGUUUGCUCUGUGGGUAGAAGUUGGGGAGGGAAUUCUGAGGGACCUGGAAUGAGCUCGGGAAUGGAGCAGAGAUUCAGCCAGGACCCAAGCUGUGCGGGUGGUAUUCUUGGCCCAUCCCAGGACCUUUAUAAUGACAAAGGUGUGUCCUGUUGGGGGUGUGGAGGAUCCCCAAGGGCUCUACUUGCAGUUAGUGGCACCACUUCACAAUUCAGAGAGCAGUACUAAAUCAUGGCCAGAAGGUGAGCGCAGAGCUUGGGCCAACUUCGUGGGGCAUUAUAAGGCAGGAUUAGUAAAACUGCUAGCUGCCAUUGAACAGCAAACAUUAAUAGGAUUAUGGCUGCAGCUCAAACUAUGUUUGGCAAUCCGGAAUACAAGACGAAUAAGAAAGAUAGAGGGGUAGACCGGCAUGGUGGGUGAGCCCUUCAGAUGCCCGCUUCCAUCCUGCCUCACGUCCAUGGGCUCUGGGCCAGUGUCUUCACUCAUGUUCCUUUAGCUGCCUCAUCUCUGAAAUCUCUGAAAUUGUGUAACUAUUACAAGAACCACCAAGUUAAGAAAGAGCAUUACGUGCAUUAAUAUAAGGUGUGAGAGUCCCACCUGGCACUGCAGAAGGUCCCCAGGCAAAGCUCGCUUCCAUUAUUUCAAGUAUUUGGCAAAGUGCCUGCUGCUCCUUGCUGACCCCACCCCCCACCCCCGGGGCGGGGGGGGGGGGGUUUUAUUGAUGCCUUGGAUUCCUGGAUGUCUGGGCAGGACCACUUCCCAGUUCCAGAAACCAGAGUCACUUCUUCAAGUUUGGCAACUGGAGACAUGUUAGAGAGCUGCAGCUUGGUGAGAAGUCUUAGGCACAUCAGGGCUCUUUCCCCUUCCUGAUCCUGCCUUACAGCAGAACUUUCUCUUAAGUAGGGCUUUGAACAAUGAGCACACACGGAAAUUAAAAAAAAAAAAAAUGAGUUUCUACAUUUGGAUAGAAAAGCAUCGUGUAAAUAAGGUGGAUGAUAGACCAAGAUCUGUAAAGGGGCUUAGCGCACAGGCGGAGGGACAUUACAGUAGGUGAACUGCCCCUGUGCACCCUCCAUCCUCACCUCUGAGGAGCUUCUCCCUUCCCUGUUCUGCCAUCUCACCGACCUCUCAUUCCUGGGUGAGUCAAGACACUUCUGGGAGUCUACACUUCUGAGGUGUGGUGUCCCCCUCCCCCCGCCCCCAUUCAGUGUCCCUGGUAUACACCCCACAAGCAUAACUUCAUGACCUGGAUGCUUAUAGACAUUUUUUUAGCUUUCCUGACAAUACCAUCACAGCUAUCAUCUAAGUAAGGAUUUAGAUAUGUCAUCUACCUGUAGUAAUUUAAUUAUCUUAAUUGUUUAAAUCCCCAAGUGCCUUUGUAUAGUACUCAAAUGCCUGGAUAGAGACUUGCUUGUUCUGUAUCUAAAAUUAGUACUCUUGAGAAUCACGUUUUCCACUUGGUGAAUACUGAGAUGGUAAAUGUUUAUGUAAGCAUACAGGAGGAUGUGUGUACCAUGAAUGUAUGUGUUUCAUACACACUCACACACACACUAUAACACAAUAUUGCAUAGUGCCCAAUACCCCCGUUAAUAAAUACUAACAAAUGUUUGCUUUCCAAAUUUUGUUUGAUAAAUGCUUAGAAAAUCCUUAUCUGGCCUAGUAAAAAAAAAAAUGUACAUGGCCACAAGAGCAACAAAACUUUUCUGUCUUACAUAUGAAAGGCAUUACAUUAAAGGCGGUCUCUAACAAAUGUCAUUGAAAGUUGGGAGCCGACUUGGAAGAUGAGUUUUUGUUUCUUUCACCUCUUUGGUUUAUUGUUAGUUUUGUAAAACCCUGGACACUACUAAGUUUGUCUGAGUAGAUGUAUGAUCUACAUUCUUAUUCAAGGUUUACAGUAAAAUACUAUAAGAAUCUAUCCCCAAAUGUUUUUUUUUUAGGUUUGUAUCUUUUUAAAAAAAUUUUUAUUUGUUUUAAUUAGUUACACAUGACAGUACAAUGACCUUGACAUAUCAUACAUUUGAAUCAGAUGGGAUAUAAUUUCUCAUUUUUUCUGAGUGUACAGGUUGCAGAAUCACAUUGGUCAUGCAGUCAUGUAUAUACACACAGCAAUAAUAAUGUCUAUUUCAUUCCACUAUCCUUUCUUUCCAAAAUGGUUCUAAGCACAUUUGUUUUGUUUUCUUGAGCCCAAACUACAGAAGUGGAUUUUACGGAAGACUUCCUGUUACAAGCUACUUUGCACUUAAAAUCUGCCUCCAUCCUGCAUCAGACACCUAUUUUGCAAGUCUAUGUCCUGCUGUAUCAAAUUACUUCCCUUUCCCCUUUCCUCCCCCUCCACCCAUUCCUGUAAAUGCCCUUGUUUUGCUCUGCUUAUCUAUUAACAUAACCACAAUUAAACAGAUGCAAUAUUUUUCUCAUUAGCUGUUCAUGAAACAUUUUUAAAUGCACACAGUUUACCCACAAACAUAAUGAGAAGGACGUUAAAAUCACUUAAUUUUUGACUAUCCUCAAAAAAUUUUGUCUUCUUCUCCUGGCCUACUCCAGUGACCCUCCUUUUCCUCUUCAGAUCAUGCAUCACCAUCUUGGUAUUGAACUUGUUUAUAUUGUGUUUUUGGUUUGCAGGAGAUGGAGGUGGGGGAAAUUUGUGGUUAGAUAAUUAACAAGUAAAUCCAGGUAAAUAAACCAAAUCUAUUUUAUGUACAUUGUGUAGACAUAGUAAUUUUAUGAUCUUCUAAAAAUACUUUUUGAAAGCAAUAAAAAUUUUAGGAUCCUAAGUGUUCGGUCAGAGGUUGUCACUGUAGUAUGAGUUAUGAAGUCACAGCUGAAAAUCUCCAUCCUUUUUCUCCCUCUCCCUAGUGGGAGUAUUUUACAAUGAUCAAAUAGCCCAGAGCAGCAAUAGGGACUUAUGACAUUUGACAGAACAACUUAUAUAUAUAUAUAUUUCUGUAACAUAUGAUGCUAAAAUUACCACCAAAGUUCUCAUUCAAUGUAGGAAGAAGUAUGCAACCAUCAGAUUAUAUUUUGGAGUUCUGUUUGUUCAGGUGUAAUUAUGAUUCCAAUCAUACAAUAUAUAUUAUGAGUUUAUUAUAGACUUUUUACUCUGGAUGCAUCAUAAAUAUGAUUUCCUCUUCCUGGAAAAAAUAUAUAUUUAUUUAUAUUUAUAUAUGAUUAGCAAGAACCAUUAUUUAAAAGCUGUUAUGUUAAAUUUACUAAUUCAAUCAGGGCACACCUAAUUAUUUCCAAAAUGAAUGAUAUGUCUUGAAAUAGAUCCAUUAAAGUUGAGAAAACGGAAAGAUGCUCCUAACAGCCAAUAAGAGGUCAGGAAGAGAAGGCACCCACAUGGUAGAUGACUAUAUUUAUCAAGUAAAUAGCACUCUAUUAUAAUAGAAAACUACUGUUAAAAUUAAUUGGCACCUGAAAAGAUAAAAGAACCAAUUAACAUUUGGAUAUUGCUUAUGACAUACCAGUUUUAAUGCUUAAGAUAUUUUGUAAUUGCUACAUUUAAAACCUAUAGUAAAGCCGGGCUCUGUAGCACACACCUUUUAUCCCAGGGGCUCUGGAUGUUGAGGCAGGAGGAUUAUGAGUUCAAAGCCAGCCCCAGCAAUUUAGCAAGGUCCAAAGCAACUUAGAAAGUCUCUAUUUCAAAAUAAAAUACAAAAGGGCUGGGAUGUGGCUCAGUUCAGAGCCCCUGGGUUCAAUUCCUGGUAUGUGUGUGUAUACAGUAAAAUGAGGAUCCAGAUUUUAUUCUACAGCAUUUUUGCCAAUAGGUACUCAAUUUCACUUAUAUUUUAAGACUCAAAAUAAUGCAACCAACUAGGAGGAGAAAGAGCAAGUAGGAACAAUUGAGUCCUGUUUUGUACUCUGUUUAGUUUCCCUUCCUAGGAUUUCUGGAUCAGGAGGGAAUGAUCUGUAACCCUAGGAAAAUACUGUGUUUUCUCUUAGUUGGUACUCGUUAGGAAGGGAUCUGGAACCUUCCAGUACUACGUCCUUAAGAUCCACCUGACAUGAUGUACAAAAUUAGCUUAUGAAAUUUCUCAUCUUUCUAGUUUACAAGUAUUUGUGGCUUGCUGGACUUCCUAGCUCCAAACAACUAAGUUCUAAGAAGAAAUACUUUUUAAACACAAACAAAAAUAUUUUCCAUCUCUGAUGUAUAGGUUUGCAAUCCAGAAGCUAAAGGAUCUUUCGUUUUUUAAAAUUCAGUUCACAAAAUAUAAAGAAUAAAAUUCUGCCUGUGUUUUUCCUUUUGGAUGUUAUUUAGGAUUUGUCCAAUAUACUGUUUGGUGCCUUUCUGAUAUUGGUAGGCAAGUUGAAAAAGACUGGAAAAAAAAAAAAGGUCCCUUAAAAUUACUGUUAAAGGGCUGGGGAUAUACCUCAGUUGGUAGAGUGCUUGCCUCACAUGCAUAAGGCCCUGGUUCAAUCCCCAGCACCACAGAAAAAGAAAAGAAAAGAAAAUUACUGUUAAAAUUAAUUAAAAGGCAUUUAACUAAGCUUAUUGAAGAUUGAUGUCUUAAAAGAUGCAGGUGACAGAUAAAAACUUUUGAGAUAUGUAGUUCAGCAUAUUAACUAAGGGAUACUGCCUAUUUCUGUACUAGAAUUUAUCAGUCAUUUAAUUUGUAUGUAUCUGUGAAGAUACUUAGUCUACUUUAUGCAAAUAGGUAUUCCUUUUAAUGUAUCAACACCAAUAUGGUGUUGACCAAAUUCAUCAUGAGAUUUUGCAUAUAUGAAUUCAGUCUCUGUUUACAGUUCUUUCUCUGAUGGAUCUUUCUACUCAGUACUUCUGUCCUGCAGUACUUUGAUCCUAUCUCAGGCUUUUCCACCUCUGUUCAGUCUCCUCCCUACCUACUGUAAAUUCCAACCCCAUUUUAUGUGUGCUGAUUACAGUGAAAACAUGGGGCAAAAUUCAGUUAUGCAACUGUUUUAUCUCCAACCCACAUGCUCAGACAAGCUGCCCUUCCUCUUCCCAGGCCCACCCACUGUUGGUGGCUCUUUUGCUGACUCCUACGUCAUAGACUGACUGAUAACCUCCAAAGUCCUAUAUGUAAACCCAGCCUAGGGAGUCAGAUCAAGCCCAGAAACUCCCAAUGCCUGGAUGAGGCUAGAGUCAGCUAAUGAAGAGGACUGUCCCUUGAGUGUGACUCUGUAGUUCUAGUGGACUGUCUUUCCACCGUCAUAUUUGACCUAUAAACUCAUAGACAGUGCACUAAUAUCAGAUCUUUUUUUUUUCCAGAACUAUUUAAAUCAUGGAGAAACACAGUAAGUAAUUCAUAAGUAUUUACU